rnacentral:rRNA from 1 species
UUCCUACGGGUGGCUGCAGUGAGGAAUAUUGCGCAAUGGAGGCAACUCUGACGCAGCCAUGCCGCGUGCAGGAAGAAGGCGCUACGCGUCGUAAACUGCUUUUAUCCGGGAAGAAACCCCUCUACGUGUGGAGGGUUGACGGUACCGGAGGAAUAAGCACCGGCUAACUUCGUGCCAGCAGCCGCGGUAAUACGAAGGGUGCAAGCGUUAUCCGGAUUCAUUGGGUUUAAAGGGUGCGUAGGCGGGGCGUUAAGUCAGUGGUGAAAUCCUGCAGCUUAACUGUAGAAUUGCCAUUGAUACUGGCGCUCUUGAGUGCGCUUGAAGUAGGCGGAAUGUGCCGUGUAGCGGUGAAAUGCUUAGAUAUGGCACAGAACACCAAUUGCGAAGGCAGCUUACUAAGGCGAUACUGACGCUGAGGCACGAAAGCGUGGGGAUCAAACAGGAUUAGAUACCCCGGUAGUCAA